UGUUAAAAUUUCAUUCAAUUGUACUAUUAAAAAAUGGUAUAGUUGACGGAAUAUCCAGAUAGUUACACGUGAUGAGCCAUAUGUACAUCAUGUUAACGUACAAAGACCGGUUUUUAACAAUAGAAAUGGAUGGAGUUUUUAAUA
rfam:Gossypium arboreum cultivar AKA8401 contig_3288_3, whole genome shotgun sequence.